rnacentral:piRNA from 1 species
UGAGAACUCCGAUUGAUCCUCGCAUCUC